CUGGACCUGACCUGACCCUGGAGGACCCCAUGCUCGCAGAGGCCCAGCCUUGCCUUGACCCUCACACCCGGCCCAGGCUCUCAGGCUGCACUUGGCCUUCUUUGCUCCUUCUGGCCCAAUGGCCCCUGGAAUGGCACCUCCACCCCGAGUGCUGCUGCGAGGCUGAGGCUGCCCAGGCCUUCCUGCUCCCAUUUCUAGCAGGGACUCAACCAGGCACUGCCCGCACUGACUGUAGGAAAUCUGCUUCUCAAUGUGGAGUUGGGGUUCUUGAGAUGCCUCAGCCUGAGGCUGUGACUGCCCAUCUCUGCACCCUGGGACCACCACUGCCACCACACCCACCUCCCACACGGAACCCUCCUAGACACGGAGCUCCUCAGUUGAAUUCCUGUUUCAUUCUAUAUG